GACGAACGCUGGCGGCGUGCCUAAUACAUGCAAGUCGAACGAGGAUUUCUUACACCGAGUGCUUGCACUCACCGUAAGAAAUUCGAGUGGCGGACGGGUGAGUAACACGUGGGUAACCUGCCCAAAAGAAGGGGAUAACAUUUGGAAACAAAUGCUAAUACCGUAUAACAACACUAGACGCAUGUCUAGAGUUUGAAAGAUGGUUCUGCUAUCACUCUUGGAUGGACCUGCGGUGCAUUAGCUAGUCGGUAAGGUAACGGCUUACCAAGGCAAUGAUGCAUAGCCGAGUUGAGAGACUGAUCGGCCACAUUGGGACUGAGACACGGCCCAAACUCCUACGGGAGGCAGCAGUAGGGAAUCUUCCACAAUGGAACGAAAGUCUGAUGGAGCAACGCCGCGUGAGUGAAGAAGGGUUUCGG
rnacentral:rRNA from 1 species